AUUGAACGCUGGCGGCAGGCCUAACACAUGCAAGUCGAACGAGUGGCGGACGGGUGAGUAAUGUCUGGGAAACUGCCUGAUGGAGGGGGAUCACUACUGGAAACGGUCGCUAAUACCGCAUACCAUCUGAUUUGCCCAGGUGGGAUUAGCUAGUUGGUGGGGUAACGGCUCACCAAGGCGACGAUCCCUAGCUGGUCUGAGAGGAUGACCAGCCACACUGGAACUGAGACACGGCCCAGACUCCUACGGGAGGCAGCAGUGGGGAAUAUUGCACAAUGGGCGCAAGCCUGAGGGAGCCAUGCCGCGUGUAUGAAGAAGGCCUUCGGGUUGUAAAGUACUGUCGGCGGAGAGGCGUUACCCGCAGAAGAAGCACCGGCUAACUCCGUGCCAGCAGCCGCGGUAAUAC
rnacentral:rRNA from 1 species